UAUUGAAAAAGGCAAACUUACUGAAAGGUAGGGACGCAAAGCCAUAGGUCUAAGGUCAUUCACGACUAAGAUAGCUAGGUUACCAAA
rfam:Anaerobacillus arseniciselenatis strain DSM 15340 Ga0137926_118, whole genome shotgun sequence.